GAUGAACGCUGGCGGCGUGCCUAAUACAUGCAAGUCGAGCGAACAGACGAGGAGCUUGCUCCUCUGACGUUAGCGGCGGACGGGUGAGUAACACGUGGAUAACCUACCUAUAAGACUGGGAUAACUUCGGGAAACCGGAGCUAAUACCGGAUAAUAUAUUGAACCGCAUGGUUCAAUAGUGAAAGACGGUUUUGCUGUCACUUAUAGAUGGAUCCGCGCCGCAUUAGCUAGUUGGUAAGGUAACGGCUUACCAAGGCGACGAUGCGUAGCCGACCUGAGAGGGUGAUCGGCCACACUGGAACUGAGACACGGUCCAGACUACUACGGGAGGCAGCAGUAGGGAAUCUUACGCAAUGGGCGAAAGCCUGACGGAGCAACGCCGCGUGAGUGAUGAAGGUCUUCGGAUCGUAAAACUCUGUUAUUAGGGAAGAACAAAUGUGUAAGUAACUAUGCACGUCUUGACGGUACCUAAUCAGAAAGCCACGGCUAACUACGUG
rnacentral:rRNA from 1 species